CGCGAGGUCGGAGACGCCUUGUGGGAAUCUGCCAGCACCAUCUGGUAAGGCUAAAUACUUUUUGAGAGACCGAUAGUGAACUAGUACUGUGAAGGAAAGGUGAAAAGAACCGCGAACAGCGGAGUGAAAUAGAACCUGAAACCAUACGCUUACAAGCGGUCGGAGCAGCUACGUGCUGUGACGGCGUGCCUUUUGCAUAAUGAGCCUACGAGUUACUCCUCUCUAGCAAGGUUAAAGAUUUAAGAUCUGGAUCCGAAGCGAAAGCAAGUCUGAAUAGGGCGUAUAGUUAGAGGGGGUAGACGCGAAACCUUGUGAUCUACCCAUGACCAGGUUGAAGUUCCGGUAACACGGAAUGGAGGACCGAACUGAUAAGCGUUGAAAAAGCUUCCGGAUGAGUUGUGGGUAGGGGUGAAAGGCUAAUCAAACUGGAAAUAGCUCGUACUCCCCGAAAUGUUUUUAGGAACAGCGUUGAGGUUGAGUCUUAUAGAGGUAGAGCUACUGAUUGGACAAGGGGG
rnacentral:rRNA from 1 species